GAUGAACGCUGGCGGCGUGCCUAACACAUGCAAGUCGAGCGGGAUUCAUGAGGACGAUACUUCGGUUGAGGAAUCAUGAUGAGAGCGGCGGACGGGUGAGUAACGCGUAGGCAACCUGCCCCUGGCACAGGGAUAGCCUCGGGAAACCGGGAUUAAAACCUGAUAAAGCAGAGGAAUCACAUGGUUUUUUUGCCAAAGAUUUAUCGGCUGGGGAUGGGCCUGCGUCUGAUUAGUUAGUUGGUGGGGUAACGGCCUACCAAGGCGACGAUCAGUAGCCGACCUGAGAGGGUGAUCGGCCACAUUGGAACUGAGACACGGUCCAAACUCCUACGGGAGGCAGCAGUGGGGAAUAUUGGGCAAUGGGGGGAACCCUGACCCAGCGACGCCGCGUGGGUGAAGAAAUCCUUCGGGAUGUAAAGCCCUGUUGUAUGGGAAGAGCGGAAGACGGUACCAUACGAGGAAGCCCCGGCAAACUACGUG
rnacentral:rRNA from 1 species